rnacentral:misc_RNA from 1 species
CCCAGAACAUGUCCCCAGCAUCAGCCGUUCCCGUGACGCGCCCUUCCACUCGCGCCGCCUCGCCCUCUCCCACAGGCCUUCCCAGCGACUUCUUCGAGCCGCGCAAAGAGCCCUCGGACUUCGAACGGCAGGCGGACGACAUCAUCGCCAACUUCCGAGCCAGGCAGGGGACCGGUCUCGAGGUGUCCCCGUCGGCUUUUUCGAAGUAGCGACGGCGGGAGACACUUUAUCUUCCUUUUCCUCCUCCAAGGCGGCUCUCUCGUCCUCCGAGAUGACCUCCCUGGCCAAGGAAGACUCGACUAUGACCGCUUCCACUCGGGUGAGAAGGAUGUUGAAGAAGGCCGCGGAAGAUUUCUAAACACCUGACGGACAUAUCCUUCAUCCCAAGACAAAUAUAAAAAAGAAAAAGGCAUAUACUUUUUCCAAUCCUGAUCAUAGCUAUUCUACAUAAUCAAGUAGAUAAGAAGACAAAGUUUUUUUUGUUUUUUUGUUUUUUGUAAUGGCGAUAUCUGGCUUCGACUGACUGCUGACGUCAAAGGCGUACUACGGGCAACAUUUUUUUCUCUCUCUCAAAAAAAAAAAGUUCUACGAAGUGAGUGACGAAGUGAAGAAGUCAUCUUUUUCAAGAGACAUCUUUUCUGCAACUUGGACGCGGCCGGAGACUAAGACUGCGACGAGAUCUGGAACUUUGUUACUUCCGAAGAUAAAGAUGACUUGUCGGUUGUUGGCUCGGUUUCCCUUGACGCUGAUUUCCGCUCGGGGAUGGGGAUGCAAAGCACUGAUAUGUCACCAGAAAAAAGUAACUGGGUUUCAGAUCUUGGUUUUAUGUAAACGAAUGUAACACAGAGAAAAUGGGCGUCAUGUCCAAAAAAAGGAGACUGUGUUGUGUCUUUGUUUACUUUUGUUGAGCAUUUGAAUUAUUUUCUUUUUUUUGGAUAGGAUAAAAACAUUUUUUUUUCCAUUCACGCUCUGCCAUAUACAUUUUUGCAUUUUGUAUAUAAUAUUGGCCCGUAUUUUUUCAUACAUGGUUAAUCAAAAUGUAAAUUAUCACAAAAAGUGCUCUAACAUGACACUACCAGGACAUAAAUCAGUUAUCGACAACCAAAACACUUUAAAAUUUAUUUUUAGAAAUUCUAUUGUAAUGCUCGUACUUUAAAUAAAUGAUACACAAAU